rnacentral:misc_RNA from 1 species
ACAGUUAUUGCAUGAUGCAUCGUGCUGAUUGUGGAUUUUGGGUGUUAUCGAUUUACUUAAAGAGUGGUUUUGCAUUUGAUGUUGUCAUCUUUACAACCCUAAUAAGGGGAUUCUUUACUGAAAAUAAGGUUAAAGAUGCUGUUGAAUUGUUCAUAAAAUUGGUUACAGAGAAGAUUUGUGAGCCUGAUGAAGUCAUGUAUGCAACUGUCAUGAAUGGACUCUAAAUUUUUUAAGAAUAUGAUAAGUAUGAAGCAUUACUCUGUUGUGAUUUCUCUUUUUCGACAAAUGCUGAAAUUGGGUAUCCAAAUUGAUGGUGUCAUUUUGACUAGUGUGAUUAACAGUUAUUGCAUGAUGCAUCGUGCUGAUUGUGGAUUUUGGGUGUUAUCGAUUUACUUAAAGAGUGGUUUUGCAUUUGAUGUUGUCAUCUUUACAACCCUAAUAAGGGGAUUCUUUACUGAAAAUAAGGUUAAAGAUGCUGUUGAAUUGUUCAUAAAAUUGGUUACAGAGAAGAUUUGUGAGCCUGAUGAAGUCAUGUAUGCAACUGUCAUGAA